CCCGGAUACGUCAAGACGGAAUUUGAGGAUGUGGGGGGCCUACCCGUCCUGACUAUUCCGCCCCUGUACGGUCCAGAUAUUGCGGAGGCCGUCGUUUACGCCCUGUCAACUCCGGCUCAUGUGAACGUAAACGAAAUCACCCUUCAGGCUGUUGGAAGUUAAGAACAUUAAUAAAAAUAUCAACAAAAUUCAAAAACUGAUGAAAAUUCAAAAUCACACGUCCACAAAACGUAGAUGAAAAUUUAAAAUCAAAGAUUAAAAAAAGUAGUGUCAGUAUACUAUUUAAUAUAACAAAACAAAGCAAGAUCUGUUAGUAUAGCAAAGAUCAGUAUCAGUAUACUAUUUGAUAUAACACGCAUAACAUAUAACGAGUAUUUUUAUUAUGCACCAGAAUUGUUGUUAUUGUUAUUAUGAAUUUACGCAUUAUGAAUAAAUAGUUACUUCAAAAUAUAUAAAUAUAUAUAGCAAACAUU